AUCAUGCUGUCUCGGCACCUACUAAGAGAGAACACUAGUACUCGGUGCACUUCUCUGCCUCUGAAAUGCAUCAACAAAGUAUAAAGUGGAGAGAGCUAGGCUGUGAAACGCAUCAGCAAAGGUACAGGGUAAGACCGAAACAAUGACCUCCAGGAGAGAGACAUGACCAUGUGAUCUUCAAUAGUGUAAUUCAAUUCUGAAAUAGCAGUAGCACCAGGUAAACUAUGUAAGACAGAAACAGUGGUCUCCACAAGUAUAGAUAUAUACUACCAAGACCAUAUGAUUUUCAGUAAUGUUUACAUAGCAGCAACGGCAACUUCCAAGAUGCAAUAUCUUCACACAAGUGGGUUCUUCCACGCAUAUUUAGUUGAAUGAGUUGUUUCUUGUAGUCAGCAGCUCCGCAGGCUAUCAGAAAAGGGGUGGCGGGCCGCCAGGGCCCGGUCGUCUGAAGAGAGGGCCGCAGCAAUCUUGGAGCAGGCAGCAGCAGCACAGGAUAUAGAAGCUGCAGAAGAAACACAUGUUCAGAGUUGCAGCUCUAUUCAUAUAUAAAACAGAAAGGGUUAAGAGGGGCAUCAUGGCUUGGAAUUGAAGCUUGUGAUGGUGCUAAAAAAUUUACACUUGAUCCCGAAACCACGCUAAUCUUCUGCCAGCGUGAAUAGUCCGAUAUUUUAGAAGGAAAAAAAUGACAUGUAUCUGAAUGACUUGAUGAUCUUCAUUAGUUAGCUGAGAAUUCAACUUACCAGGAUCCCAAGAAUCCACCGAGCCCAGGCCCCCAAGAACCAGGGCCACCAGGAAACCCAGGCCCACCAGGUGGAACCGGACCCCAGCCUCCAGGGCCCCAUCCUGCAGGGCCUCCCCAGCCCGGUCCUCCAGGCCCAUGCGGAUCCAUCCUACCCUGAAUUGCUC
rnacentral:lncRNA from 1 species